AGAGAGAGAGACACUAAAGAGAAAGACUAGAGAGAGAUAGUAGAGAAAGACACUAUUGAGAGAGACACUGUAGUAAAUCGCUAAAAAGAGAGAGACACACUAAAGAGAAAGACUAGAGAGAGAUAGUAGAGAAAGACACUAUUGAGAGAGACACUAGAGAGAUAGUAGAGAAAGACACUAUUGAGAGAGACACUGUAGUAAAUCGCUAAAAAGAGAGAGAGACACUAAAGAGAAACACUAGAGAGAGAUUAGUAGAGAAAGACACUAUUGAGAGACACUAGAGAGAGAUAGUAGAGAAAGACACUACUGAGAGAGACACGAGAGACACUAGAGAGAGACAAUAGAAGAGACACAAAGAGAGGUACCAGAGAGACACACUGUAGAAGAUCAUUAAAAAGAGAGAGACACUAGAGGGAGUGAGGGAUAGUAGAUGAAGACACUAGGGAGAGAGACAUGACAGACACUAGAGAGAGGCACUAGACGAGAUAGAGAGAGAGAUACCAGAGAGAGACACACUGUAGAAGAUCAUUAAAAAGAGAUCGACACUAGAGAGAUUGAGAGAUAGUAGAGAAAGACACUAGGGAGAGAGACAUGACAGACACUAGAGAGAGGCACUAGAAGAGACGCAGAGAGAGACACCAGAGAGAGAGAGAGAGAGACACACACUGAAGAAGAUCAUUAAUAAGCGAUAGACACUAGAAAGAGUGAGAGAUAGUAGAAAAAGACACUAAGGAGAGAGACAUGAGAAACACUGAAGAGAGGCACUACGGAGAGAUAGUAGAGAGAGAGACAUACUAGAGGAAAAUACACUAGAGAGACACACACAGAAAUAGAGUGACACUAGGGAGAGACAGAGAAAGAGAGACACUAGGGAGGGAUAGUAGAGAGAGAGAAACACACUAUAGGAAAAAAGACACAAGAGAAAGACAAUAGAGAGAGACCCUAGAGAGAGACACUGUAGUAAAUCGUUAAAGAGAGAGAGAGACACUAAAGAGAAACACUGGAGAGAGAUUGUAGAGAAAGACACUACUGAGAGAGACACGAGAGACACUAGAGAGAGACAAUAGAAGAGACACAGAGAGGGAUACCAGAGAGAGACACACUAUAGAAGAUCAUUAAAAAGAGGGAGACACUAGAGGGAGUGAGGGAUAGUAGAUGAAGACACUAGGGAGAGAGACAUGACAGACACUAGAGAAAGGCACUAGAAGAGACACAGAGAGAGACACCAGAGAGAGAGACACACACACACACACUGUAGAAGAGAAAGACAAUAGGGAGGGAUAGUAGAGAGAGAGAAACACACUAUAGGAAAAAAGACACAAGAGAAAGACAAUAGAGAAAGACCCUAGAGAGCGGCCCAGAGAUACAGACAUAAGACACUAUGGAGAGACAGUAGAGAGAGUGACAUUAGAGAGAGAGAGACAGAGAGAGAAUGACCUGAGAAAGACACUAGAGGAAGACACAAAUAGAGAGAGACACUAGACAGAGACAAUGGAGAGAGAGACAGAUGGUGAGAGUAGAGAGAGCGAGACAUUAGAGAGAAAGACAGACAGACAGGGAGAGAUACACAGAGUGUGAGAGAGACAGACUGAGAGAGAAAGACAGAAAGAGAGUGAGAGAUAGCAAGACAGUUCCUUGGAUUAAGUCAUUCUUGCUGAUUAAGACCAGCUCACGC
ensembl:lncRNA